UACGUAGGGGGCAAGCGUUGUCCGGAAUCAUUGGGCGUAAAGAGCGCGUAGGCGGCCCGGUAAGUCCGCUCUGAAAGUCCAGGGCUCAACCCUGGAAAGCGGGUGGAUACUGCCGGGCUAGAAUCCGGAAGAGGCGAGUGGAAUUCCUGGUGUAGCGGUGGAAUGCGCAGAUAUCAGGAGGAACACCAAUAGCGAAGGCAGCUCGCUGGGACGGUAUUGACGCUAAGGCGCGAAAAGCGUGGGGGAGCAAACAGG
rnacentral:rRNA from 1 species